CCCGCGCCCCUGCUGUGUCCUCCGUCCUGUGAAACACUUCUAGGUUCGGGGUUCCCGGCUGGACGCGAGAUCUCAGAAGCCCCGACUGGCCGGCCUUAUUCCCAGCCUGCUGCUACGUCCCUGGUUACCGCGCGUCGCGGAGAAACAGCCAUAGUUUUCAACUGGAGAUGCGAUAGAGGAGAUGAAACCUUUUUGGUAACAAGCAAACCCCUGCUUAUAAAAGGGGGAGAGUUUAAUUUUCAUCCAACUGGAAACCUGAGGCUUCCCAGUAAGAGGAACGUUUCUGGCCUGUAAAGCAGUCACCUGUUGUUCCAGGGAUUAGGAUGAAAACAUCUUUGGAGCGAGGGGCGUUACAGUAAAGGAUUCCAAAAGAAGCUUGAGCACCUAAGACAAAUCACCUGCCUCUCAGAGUCAUCUCUUCCAAAUAAUUGAAGCACUUGAUUAGAAAUGCCAAUAACUGAUUUUCCUCAUAUUUAUACCUAUUGUGAAGUUUAUAGUCAAUUUUAAAAUGGGAUACUAGGGAUAAAGAAGAGCAGCAUGGUUAUAGAGUAUUCUCAUUUUGUAUGAUCAGCCACUUGAACAAACUCUAAAGAGUCUGGAGGCUUUGCUAGAAAUAAAUGAUAAAGACUUAUUUAAAGGUCUUGGAGUUCGCAAACUGGAAACACAGGCAAAAACACAUUGGUGUUCCAAAGAAGAAGGAAAAGUUAAAGGGUUCUUAUUGUUAAAAAUGCAUUCUUGAGAAUAAUCAGUCCUUCAUUCUUAGCCCUAGAAUUGGUUCAGGAUGGUUAUCAGUUAUAUGUCAGGCAGUCUUGAUGGUAGAUGCCAAGUUGUCUGAAAGAUAGGUGCCAGGAAGUCUGGUCACAUCCAUUGGUCUGGAGAGUAGAUGUUACAUGGACGUCAAGUGAUCUGGUUAUAUGAGUUCUUCAGUGGGUAAUCAGAGGGUUGUUUGGAGAUCCGAUGUAUAUCCAGGUAUUGACACACAAAGAACUAAUAUCCAGGCAUUGGUGCAGGACUAGAAAAUUUACAAGUUCUCAGGCUAGUUAGAACAAGAAUAGAAUUGUUUCCUCAUGACUCAACUUAAUGUUAAUUUUAGCAGCUUUGUUAAAGCAAUUCCAUUUUAUAUAUUUCCUAUCUUUACUCUUUCCUCACACCGUAGUGUCACAGUGUUUUCAUAAUUUGCACUGAAUAGGCCCUACUCUAAAUCCAAGCUUUAUGAAAACCUAAUUUUCAUUGAUCACUUCAAGGGGAAUCGUAUCCAUAAGAAUUGUCUGUACCAUAGAAUAGGAAUACUCAGGCCAAAAGCAUUUCCACUUUUACCAGUCUGAUUGAGGUCAUCCUUGCCUACUAUAUCAUCCUAUGUAUUUCUGUCUUGUUUAUUUUCCCCAUGCACAAUCUCAUGAUGUAAUUUUUCUUUUUAAAAAUCUAGAAUGACUAAGAGAGACUGAGACUUAAGUGGCCAGAGGUAGAAAAGAGACCGAAUUCCUUUUGGUGGUCUCUUAAAUUUUGUCCUUCAUAUGUGCGUUACAUAUUCUAAAAACAUAAAAUUUUAAUUAAAGCAGAAAAUUUCAGUGAGAUCUUAUUGGCUAAGAAAGUCCAAAUAUCUUAGUUUGGCAAAAAGCCCUUUAAUGAUCUGGGUAUAACUUAAGUUUACAGUUCUAUUCCGUAUUGGACCCUUUUUGUUUUCUACCACACUGGUUACGCAUACCUUUCUGCACAUCAGAAUCACCUGAAGAGCUUGUUGAGAAGACGUUCCCAGGCCAUAGGCCCUACAUGCUGACCCACUGAGUCAGACUCUCCAAAGAAAGGGACUGCAAAUCUACCUCUUUUAAGAUUUAAGCAUCGGCCCAAUGAGCUACAAGAUUAUUACUCUGCAGCAUUUUAGCCAAACCUUAGCAUUUACUGUUCUACAUGAUUAUCUUACAUUUUCCAAUCAUUUUUGCCUUUAUGCACUUCAUUUCCUCACCAGUUCUCUAUAUUUCCCUGUUAAAUUUUUACCCAUCUUUUAAGACCCAGCUUAAAUACCACCUCCUUUACCAAUCCUCUUUAAAAAUAAUCAUCUUCUUUGCUUGUAAUUAAUGAUUAUUGUCCAGACUUCAGAGAGAGAAUUCUGAAUUAAAAUUCCAUUUUUGAUACUUGAUUAGUGCAAAUGUUGGGCAAGUUCCUAAACACUUCUGGGCCUCACUUUCCUGUAAACUGGGAAUGAUAUUAGUACCUCCCUCAUAGGUGGUUGUGAGAAUUAAUUCAUGUAAAGUAUGUAGAACUUCAUGCCUGGCCCAAAGUAAGCACUAAAUAAGUGUUAGCUUAUGGUGGAAUGGGCAACUGAUCAGACCAAAAAGAGGGAACCCAAGACUAAGUUAACACAGGGGAGGCAGUAUCAGUGCUGUAACUUGGAGUAGGGUGCUCUGGAAUGCUAAAUCAGGAUGUCAGCAAAGAAAAUUAGGGAUGGAGAGGAGAGAAUGAGAGGGAAAAAUAAGACUAGAAGACUGUUUAUAUAUAUUCCCUACCCGCUUUAAGCAUUUAAGACUAGAGCAAGGAUUGGCCAAGCAUGGGGAAAAGGGAGAGACUGUCAUUAUUAAUAAAUUUCAUAUUUGAAAAGGG